AGUGAACGCUGGCGGCAGGCCUAAUACAUGCAAGUCGAACGGCAGCACAGCAGAGCUUGCUCUGUGGGUGGCGAGUGGCGGACGGGUGAGGAAUACAUGGGAAUCUGCCCAGUCGUGGGGAUAACGUAGGGAAACUUACGCUAAUACCGCAUGCGCCCUUCGGGGAAAGCCGGGGACCGUAAGGCCUGGCGCGAUUGGAUGAGCCCAUGUCGGAUUAGCUAGUUGGCGGGGUAAAGGCCCACCAAGGCGACGAUCCGUAGCUGGUCUGAGAGGAUGAUCAGCCACACUGGAACUGAGACACGGUCCAGACUCCUACGGGAGGCAGCAGUAGGGAAUAUUGGACAAUGGGCGCAAGCCUGAUCCAGCCAUGCCGCGUGAGUGAAGAAGGCCCUCGGGUUGUAAAGCUCUUUGUCCGGAAAGAAAGCGCCGGGUUAAUACCCUGGUGUCCUGACGGUACCGGAAGAAUAAGCACCGGCUAACUUCGUGCCAGCAGCCGC
rnacentral:rRNA from 1 species